rnacentral:tRNA from 1 species
GCACUCGUAGCUCAGCUGGAUAGAGCGCCUGACUACGAAUCAGGAGGUCAGGGGUUCGAAUCCCUUCGAGUGUACCA